rnacentral:rRNA from 1 species
AUAACUGCGAGUGAAGCGGGAAAAGCUCAAAUUUAAAAUCUGACAGUCUUGCUGUCCGAGUUGUAAUCUGGAGAAGCAUUUUCUGUGUCGGACCGUGUACAAGUCUCUUGGAAUAGAGCGUCAUAGAGGGUGAGAAUCCCGUCCAUGACACGGACCCCCGAUGCUUUGUGAUAUGCUCUCGAAGAGUCGAGUUGUUUGGGAAUGCAGCUCAAAAUGGGUGGUAAAUUCCAUCUAAAGCUAAAUAUUGGCGAGAGACCGAUAGCGAACAAGUACCGUGAGGGAAAGAUGAAAAGCACUUUGGAAAGAGAGUUAAACAGUACGUGAAAUUGUUGAAAGGGAAACGCUUGAAGUCAGUCGCGUUGUCUGAGACUCAGCCUUGCUUUUGCUUGGUGCACUUCUCAGUUAACGGGUCAACAUCAAUUUUGGUUGGUGGAUAAAGGUAUUGGGAAUGUGGCACCUUCGGGUGUGUUAUAGCCCUUUGCUGCAUACACUGACUGGGAUUGAGGACUGCAGCACGCCGUCUUGGCCGGGGUUCGCCCUA